ensembl:Y_RNA Y_RNA Y RNA
GGCUGGUCCGAGUGCAGGGAGGUGUACAACUAAUUGAUUAUAACCAACAAAGAUAAAGAACAAAGAAGUUCUUUCUCCACUCCCACUGUUCUACUUGACUAGACUUAA